GUGAGGAAUAUUGCGCAAUGGCCGAAAGGCUGACGCAGCGACGCCGCGUGAAGGAUGAAGUUCGUUAGAAUGUAAACUUCUUUUGUAGGGGAUGAAUGUGCCGCUUUGCGGCAUUGACCGUACCCUGCGAAUAAGGAUCGGCUAACUACGUGCCAGCAGCCGCGGUAAUACGUAGGAUCCGAGCGUUGUCCGGAUUUACUGGGUGUAAAGGGCGUGUAGGUGGGUCUCUAAGUCGGUGGUGAAAUCCCGCAGCUUAACUGCGGAAUUGCCAUUGAUACUGGAGGUCUUGAGUACGGCAGAGGGAAAUGGAAUUCAUGGUGUAGCGGUGAAAUGUGUAGAUAUCAUGAAGAACACCGGUAGCGAAGGCGGUUUCCUGGUCCGUAACUGACACUGAGGCGCGAAAGCGUGGGGAGCAAACAGGAUUAGAAACCCCGGUAGUCC
rnacentral:rRNA from 1 species